rnacentral:tRNA from 1 species
GAGGGCAUAGCUCAAGUGUUAGAGCACAUGCUUAGCAUGCAUGAGGUCCUGGGUUCAAUCCCCAGUACCCACU